GUUCUCUUUAUCACCUGCCACUAGAGACUUCCUUUGCCCCUCCCUUCCCGGCUCCAGCCUGGGUGUUGUGCAAGAGCCAGAGGAAUUUGUGAUAAUGGAGCCACAAGCCCAGGCCCAACCCAGGCCCAAGGAACUUGACCUGAAGCAGGAGGGGAAACUACUCAAGAAGGAAGACCCACCAUGAAUGUUACCACCAUCCUAUGCUGGGAGCUUGGACUGAGUAAGAAGGAGGAAAGAAGCUAAGCCCUACUGUUUGUCAUUCUCUAUUUCUUGGUUGAGAUGCAAGGUCACCGGCUGCCUUGCACUCCCCAUGUCAAGCCUUCCUUGAAGGAAUGGAGACAUUCCUUCAAACCACGAGCCAAAAUGAACCCUUGCUUCCUUAAUAUUCUUUGUUGUUAUGUGUGUGUGUGUGUGUGUGUGUGUGUGUGUGUGUGUGUGUUUUGUUUUGUUAUUUCAUCACAGCAAGGAGACAUAUAACCAACACAAGUAGAUGUUCACUAGACACAGUGGUGGGAAGGUAGGAGUUUCGAACAGAACAAACCCUGACCAGAACUGUCUCUCAGGACAAGCUGCUUUCACCUUCCACUUCUCCAAGGAAUCGGGGGACAGAAGGGCAGAGUGGGGUUGCCUUCACAGUCUACUUCCUUGAUCUGGAACAUUCUGCUCACAGCUACUGAAAUCCCCAUUGCAACCAUCUAAUAACAACCUGCUCUCUGGGCUGAAGAAAUGGUUCAGCGGUUAAGAGCACUGGCUGUUCUUCUUUAGAACCUGGGUUCAAUUCCCAGCAUCCACACGGCAGCUCAUACCUGUUUGUAACUCUAAGAUCUGAUACCCUCACACAGACAUACAUGCAGGCAAAAUACCAAUGCAAGUGAAAUAAAAGUAAAUUAUUAAAAAAAAAAAUCUUUAUCUCU
rnacentral:lncRNA from 1 species